UGCUCUAGGGCAUACUACUAACAGCAAUGCCAUAUUAGCAACUACGUUUUUGAACACCAUACUUACCCAGCUGACAUAACUAGAGAGAAAUCAGAUGGUAAACUGAGUUUUGAAUGCCGAAGACCUUAAUCAGCUUUUUCUGAAUAAUAAUUGGUUAUAUUUUGAGUCCUAUUAUGGAAAUGACUUGAAAUGAAAGGAAUCAGUUACAAUUUUAUUCUUUCUCAUUUUCAUGAAUGACUAGUUGAGCUCUUAAAUGUUUCAAGAGUUUGUAACUUCUGAUUUUUAUCUUGCUUUUGCCUUGUAAUAGCAUAAAGGCUCUUGGGCAGCACCAGUGUUGACCUUGAUAUACUUUCUCACAUGCAUGGUUUCAUGCCUGAACUAACAUAUAUAAAUGGUAAUUUGCAUUGCUUUCAUUUUUUUAUUGACCUUGGUGCUGUUUCUUCAUGAUGUAUGUAUUAUCAGUGCAGGUUGGGCUUCAAUUUUUGUGUUCAGAAAAUCCAACAAGGUGAUGGCAUGUUUGGGCUGAGGGGCAAGAUGAAGUGCUUUGUGCAUGCACACUGAAGGACAGAAAUUUUGCUAAUGGAAGUGGAGACAUCUUUAUCUGUUUUGGUGAAUAACUAGAGGUAUGCAUUUUGUUUUGUGAAUCAAUUGCUUGCUUUCUUGGUGGGACAUUGUGCCCGAGUAAUCCUUCUAUCAAGAAUGUACAUUCAAUGUAUCCUCAGUGGUUCUGUUCAUUUUAGCUUGCACUUGUAGCCCAGCAUGAUGAAGACAAAAAAACUGUGGAUGUCUAGGAACUGUAGAAAACUAGUUAUUCGGACUUGGCAAAUUAAACUUAUUCUAUCUGCUGUGCCGGCAGACGGGUGAAAUUUAACGGUAGGUUUAAUAGUUAAUGUUAUUAGCUAGUCCUGUAGGCGCAAGAGGGACAAUGUGCCUAAAUCCAAUACAGAGCUUGGUUAAGAGUCCCUAAGACAAUUCUCAUACAAAUUGUAUUUAUGUACAAAAUACAAAGCAUUGCAGGGUCGGAACCAUUCUUUGCAGUUGCUCCUUGGUACUCUUCCUUCCGAGUGCACGUACCCCUUAUGUUACCUAAGGUACUCCACAUCAAUGGAAUACCCUUUCUAAGUAAAAACUUUGCUGUUGAAGAUCUAAUUAAUGAAAGAUCGAGGACGCAUAUUGCUGUAUUAACACCCUGCCCAUGGCAAUGCUAUGGGACAAGGACGGACCUCUGUGCCAGAAGGCUCCAACCCUAAGCGUGGUCUAUUAUAGGCAGCCUUCCCCCCUAAUUUUCGGAGAGACCGAGCAAAAUAUAGGCUCCAAGGAGGAUGCCAAGCUACUAUUGGUGUUCUAAACGUUUGGGAUGAAAUUAACCUUUUUAUCGAAAAAAGAUGUCAUGAUUCAUUAAGAACCUAACAUUUCUAACAGUUUGUAACCCUAUUACUUUGUGGGAAAUAUAGUUUUUC
rnacentral:misc_RNA from 1 species